UCUUGAACUAGAAUCCCUAGAAUAUGCUAAGUUCUACAUUAGUCCCACCCUCUGGAUGGCUUGAACUAAGUGACCUGAUUCUUCCAGAUUUAGGCAAGGAGGCACCCUCUCCUCACGGCCGCACAGACUCAGGCUCAGGGCUGCCCACCCUGUCCAGUUAGCAGCGCCCUGUCUUCCAUCCCUAGGUCCAGCCUAGUGUAAUUUUUGCCACAGAGCAGAUGUUCAAGAAAUAGCAGCUGAAUGGAUGGUAGUUUCCUGAAUUAGGAAAAAUCGUGCCCUAGUUUUUCCCAAGUUACCACUACAUUAUCUUUGAGGGGGCUGGCAAGAUGGCUUAGUGGGUAAAGGCUCUUGCUGCCAAGACUGAAGACCUGUGCUUGAUUCCUGGAAGUCACAACAUGGAAGAUUUUCAAGAUUAAACUUACCGCAUUGCCCAGAAGUAAAGCUCUGCUUCCUGGGCACAGGCAAGGCUGCUGGCCUCUAUUGCUGUGGAUCUGUGCACACAACGUGUUCUAAGCAAGCUUCUCAUAGCUUUGUGGCUCAAGCAGAUCUGUGUCCUGAUCACUCCCUAGUAACCUCACUAUUGUGGAAGAGUUCCCUGGCUUAAAUAGUGUGAUAUGGUGGAACCCCAGAUCUCCACACCAGACAGUCACGGUAAGUUUUGCUAACCCCUUGCUCUCCCAGGACUGAGACGCUGAGCCUGGAACUGCACUAAGCCUUGGUAUGUUGAAGCCGGGGGGUGGGCA